CCGUCGAUAGCUCAGUUGGUAGAGCGAUGGACUGUAGAUCCAUAGGUCGCUGGUUCGAAUCCGGCUCGACGGA
rnacentral:tRNA from 1 species